rnacentral:lncRNA from 1 species
GCUGGGAAGGCCAGGAGAAGGGGGCGGGGCGAGCGCGCGGCCAGUGCGCCGCCGAGAUUGCGCUCCCGCGCCUGCGCAGAGGGCGCCCGGGCGGCGUGCGCCCGCGCUGAGCGGACCAGCCCCGGGGGUGCGGGCCCCGCGUGGGCGCACGCGCACCCGCGGGGGAGCCCGAGGGACCCGCGGGCCUAAACGCAGGGCGCGUCCGAGCUCGUAGCAGCCUUGGGAAGCGGAGGUCUCCCGGAAGCGCAGGGGGCCGGAGCCCGACUGGGCGCAGCCCGCUGCAGAGCGGCGACCCACGGGCCGCCCGGCCCCUCGUCAAUUCGAGAGAGAAACAUCUUGAAACUUUAUGCAGUCAACCAAUUUUGAGGGGCCGGAGAUUUAGCAUUGAUGCAAGACAGGUGGAAAUCUUAUCGAGAUGAGACAGUCAGUAGAAGGGGAUGGAGGUUUUCUCUAGCAGACUUUUCAUCUUAACCAUCUCGAGCAUCUGGCACAAUGACAAUAAGACCUUCCUGGUGUGGAUCAACGAGGAAGACCACCUGCGGGUCAUCUCCAUGCAGAAAGGGGGCAACAUGAAGGAGGUGUUCACUCGGUUCUGCAACGGCCUCAGCCAGGUCAGGCCUGACUGCCCCAAGCUGGGCUCGCACAAGUGGGCUUUGGUGCCGGGGAGGGGGCAGGGCUAGCUCCAGAGCUCAGGCAGGGAUGUGGGUGUCCCCACCAAUUUCCCUCGCUCCAAGGGUCCCAGCUGGUCCCCCCAGGGGGCCUCUCAACCAGGGCUCUCCUCUCUUGUCAACCUCCAGAUUGAAACACUUUUCAAGUCAAAGAAUUACGAAUUCAUGUGGAACCCUCACCUGGGCUACAUCCUCACCUGCCCAUCCAACCUGGGCACAGGCCUGCGGGCAGGUGUGCACAUCAAGCUGCCCCACCUGGGCAAGCACGAGAAGUUCCCGGAGGUGCUCAAGCGGCUGCGGCUUCAGAAACGAGGCACAGGUGGUGUGGACACAGCUGCGGUGGGUGGCGUCUUUGAUGUCUCCAACGCAGACCGCCUGGGCUUCUCAGAGGUGGAGCUGGUACAGAUGGUGGUGGAUGGCGUGAAGCUGCUCAUCGAGAUGGAGCAGCGGCUGGAGCAGGGCCAGGCCAUCGAUGACCUCGUGCCUGCCCAGAAGUGAGGCCCCAGCCCGCACUUGCCACCACCACCAGCCCCGCUGCUUCCUAACUUAUUCCCCGGGCAGUGCCCGCCAUGCACCCCUCGAUGUUCGCCACUUGANUCGAUGUUCGCCACUUGGCGGCUGAGCCCUUAGCCUCGCUGUAGAGACUUCUGUCGCCCUUGGUAGAGUUUAUUUUUGUGAUGGCUACGAUGUUGCUGAUGCUGAAAUAAACUAGGGUUUCGGCCUGCUACCA